rnacentral:tRNA from 1 species
GGGCCAGUGGCGCAAUGGAUGCAGCGUCUGACUACGGAUCAGAAGAUUCUAGGUUCGACUCCUGGCUGGCUCG